rnacentral:rRNA from 1 species
UACAGAGGGUGCGAGCGUUGUCCGGAAUCACUGGGCGUAAAGGGCGCGUAGGUGGCGCGACAAGUCAGUGGUGAAAGUUCGACGCUCAACGUCGAAUCGGCCACUGAUACUGUUGGGCUUGAGCACUGUAGAGGCUAAUGGAAUUCCGGGUGUAGCGGUGGAAUGCGUAGAGAUCCGGAAGAACACCGGUGGCGAAGGCGGCCUGCUGGGACGUGGCUGACGCUGAGGCGCGACAGCGUGGGGAGCAAACAGG